AGCUCGUAUAAUCUGAACCUAAAUGAAAACAUUCUCACCAAAGACGGAGCUGCAUAGUAAAACCACCAAUCUUGUUUAUAUCGAAACAUAAUUACGUUUGUUGACAAGCGUUCAGCAGCUAAAUGCACCAUCAUAAAUUGUUACUGGGAUGAAUAAUAUAAAAGGAAUGCUUUUUAAUUUUCAAAACUGGCAAUCUUUCUGGCUCAACAUAAAAUCAAGCACUGUUGCUUCUGACAGGAAAAUAGCGAAGAUUAAUUAUCUAAAGAGAUCACAAUAUUGUUGCUAGGUUAUCAAUUGGUUGCUAAUGCUUUACUGUCAGAACGACAUUUAUUACAGGAAAAGUAUGAUCAAUUUCUUUUAGGAUAUUAUGCAGCAGUGAAUUCUUUUAAAACAUUUUAAGUGGACGGAAGGGAAUGGCGAUGCUGUCUUAUAACUCACACAAUUAGAAUGUUUAAUUAUUUACUUGUCUGGAGGGAACACGGUGAAUGCAUAUAUGCCUGCCUGCUGCUCUUGAAUAUCCUCGCAUGAGCCAGGUUACAGAUAUGUAGAGACAUGAUACACAAGGACUCGAGGGAGCCUUGUUAAUUUAGGAACCAGUUAAAAUUGCCUAAUUUUGCCUAACUUUAGUCCUCUACAUUAAAAAGGUUUUAUAGAAACAGUGGCACAACUAGAACUUACAAGGGUAAAAUCAAAGAAAGAAAAUCUUCAGACUGUACAAGCCACAGAAGGUUUCUGCGCUCAUUCCCAGGACCAUGGCCCCAGAUACAAGGUUGGGGUAGGGCCUGAGGACCAAACCAAGGAGGAGAAACAAGGCAAAGUAUUUACUUAAAGUACACGAGGUUUUAAAGAAUCCAAAUUGAAAAUAGCCCGAUAUUUCAGAAAUGUAAGAGGUGAUACAGAGUCAGUGGUAUACAUUCAUACUAUAUCCAUAUGCUUAUGUUUAAGCACAACGGAAAAGUCUGCUGAGCAGUGGCACACAGCUGAACAAAUACUCCCAUGUGCAUGCAGUUCCAGUGAGUGAGUUCCGGAAGACAGCAGGCAGAGACCAAGAGCAUGGGGCAGUGUACCCCAGAGCAGCAGGAUCUCUGCGUUUCCCUCCUGCGCUUGGUCCACUUUUACAGACUAAGUUCCUGUGUAAAAAUCACUGAGCUAACACAUAAUUUUGCUUUGCUCCUAAAUGGUUCUUGUCACACAAAACUAUAACAUAUUUAUUGGAUUGGAAGAGGGAAAUAUUGCCUCAUGCUCUCAAGAUAAAUAAAUGAUUAUGGUCAUUUUUAUAAACCAUAUAAACAUUUUAAUCAUUAUAAGAAAACCACAGAGACCUUUACUUUUUGUACCAAAUUAAUUCAGCAAGCAUUUGCUAGUAUGCACAUAUGAACUCAGCAUAUGUUUUUAUACAGGUGGCAAGAAUGCCCAGAACAGGGAGGGAGAGGUGGAGACAGGAAGAAAAGGGCAGUCUGCACUUACCACAAGAGUAAUUAAAAGUCAAACAGGAAAAUCAACAAAAUAAUUAGCAGUGGUGGUGGCAAGACAGUUCUAUUACACAUGCACACACAUGCACACACACACACACGCACACACACACAUGCACACACACACACACACACACACACACACACACACACACACACACACACACAUACACCCCUGUAAGAUUUCUUUCUCAAUGGAAGGAGCAAGGAACAGCUCCUGUCUACAGAAAGGCAAACUGGAGCUCUUCCAGUUGUGCUUGUCUGGCUCUUCCUCCGCAAUCCCAAUAACAGCUGUUAUCCCCAUUAAUAAAUCUGAUAAAUUCCAACACUUCAAUUUCCUAUUUUCUCCAGUCAUGAGUUUACCUUUCUUUUAUCACUUGUGUAAGCAUGUGUGCACAUAUAUGUAUGCCCAUGUAUGUGUGCACAUGUGUGUGUAUGUGUGCACAUGUAUAUGUGCCAGGUGUGCCAUGCAUGUGUGUACAUGUAUGUGUGCCCAUGUAUGUGUGUCCACGUACAGAGGCUCAAAAUCCACCUCAGGUGAAGUUCCUAGGCAUGUAUUUGUUGUCUCUUUUGAAGUGAGGUCUUUUGUUGCUGGCCUGGAGACCACUGAUGCAGACUGGGACCCACAAGUGUCUCAGCCUCCAUAGCACCGGGAUCACACGCGUGGGCCAGGCCCCACUGCUUUGUCUGGAUGGUUAAACCCAUGUCCUUAUGCACUAAACUGCUUUACUGACUGAGCUACUCUCCCGGUUCUGCCUUCACACAUUUCAUUCCACUGGCAUCUCUUUGCCAAAACUUAGGCUCAGGUCUCUAGAGCCUACACCAACAAAACUCAGCUACAGUACAGGAAUGCCUAAGAAAGAAAGAAAGAAAAAAAGAAAGGAAGAAAGAAAAAAAGACAGACAGACAGACCAGUCUGCAAACAAGAAAAUGGUGGAAAUUGGUUUUAUUUUAGUGUGUGUGUGUGUGUGUGUGUGUGUGUGUGUACGUGUGUGAGUGUGAGUGUGUGUGUGUGUGUGUCUGUGUGUGUGUGUGUGCCUGUACGUGUGGGAGGAACCAGCAGUCAAUGUCUGGUGUCCGUAUCCCUCUCCAUUUACUCUUGACUUCCUGCCUGGUGUUAGGAAUGUGAACUUGGUUCUUUAACCACAUUCACCCAGCAGUCACUUUAGCCCUGAGCCAUGUACCCUGACUGCUAGCACUGCGGGCUUCUUCUACCCAACACUGUUCUCGAAAGAGCUGUUUAUACCCCAAGCACUGAACUUCAGUUUUCACACUAUUAAAAUUUAUUAGCAAGGCCCACUUUAAAGAUUGUGGGAGACAGACUUCAAGAAUACUUCCCUCUUCUAAAACUUCCGAGGAUCUCUACAGAGAACACAGCACCAUCUUUAUUCAACAGUCCUGCUCACCCAGUACAGGUACUCACUGGGGGAAAGAACUAGCGGAGACCACAGUCAGAGGCAACAGGCGGAGCAACCUGAGACCUGAGCCAGAAGGAAGAAGUCCAUCAGGAAGCGAGUGCCCCGCAUGUGGGGAAAUUUGGGCUGCUAAUCAGCAGGAGCACAGGCUGGCCCCAGGCAGGCCCCACUUCCACCUCACUCUAGACAUGGGUGGUGGAGCAGCUACAAACAACUUGGUCUGUUAUUCAGGUGUCACGGUUAAUGUAAAACACAGCAGUUAUGAUUUUAAUUUAAAAAUCAAUGACUGUCUCAAAGGCAGCCUUGCGUCUUUAGUCUGCUCGAGUUCUGCACAGCACAGGGCUGCCAGCUAGCUCCUUUUGGAGGAGGGGAAGGCACUGGGGCAUUUUAAAGACAAUACAACAUUCUAUGAAUAUCCAAAGUUAAAAGCUGCAUUCUCCUUCGGUAAGGCCUGUCUGAGACCUGCCAGUGACAAAGCAGUGCAUCUGUGCUAGCUGCACACACUGGAUGAGAGGAGAGGAAGGCUGGCGGCUCAGCUCACGGUUUUGCUCAGCACCCUCAGGUCAGCACUGGGAGCCAGGCAUGAUGGGCUGCAGUCUAGACUCUGCAGCCAUCUACGCAGACAGAGGAACAAGUCUGCUUGGAUUUCCCUGUUGAGGAAAACCAGAGUCCUGGGGCCCUCACUUUUGUUUUGCUGUUUCAAUAAACUGCCUCUGACUUAUCCCUAUUGCUUACUGCGAGCCAGCCUUUCAGAUGGUCUGACUGUAGGAAACUGAGCAUCUUAUCAUCUGGAGGGAGGAAAACAUUGUCGUCGUCGUCGUCGUCGUCAUCAUCAUCAUCAUCAUCAUCAUCAUCAUCAACAACAACAACAACAACAACAACAACAACAACAACAACAACAACUAGUCCAAACAGGCCUAUGAUGACAAACCCCACGGAGAAGCUCCUUGCCCGAGAGAAGCGUGGCUUUGACAGGGGCUGACAGCACCGAGGCAGGCCAUGUCAAACACAAUAAUACUACAGGCAAGACAACAGGAACUUGUCUCUUCCAUGCAUGCAUUUACAAAGAGAGGCUUUUCUGAGCAUUAGGCCUUGCAAAAGCUGCCCCCUGGAUACAAUGUGUUCCCAAGGCCUGGGACAAGUUACAGAGAGAAGACAAGCAGAUGUGACCAUGGCCCUAGCAUUUGGCAAGAACGCUUACUGUCAGCUGGGACAAUAUCUGCCUGGACAGGGCAUCAGCUGCACAGAAGUGAGCAGGGUCUAUGGUGUCACUGGAGGAGUGCCCGGGUGGCAGAGGGAUGGACAGCACUGCGAACCGCAAACCCGUGUGACCAUCCCUCUCUAGACUCACAUGGCCUUCUCUCCCCCUGUCAGUAUGUCUCCACAGAUUACACUGAACAGGCUGGGGUGGGAUCGGCUCUGCUCCUUCUGGCCCCAUACACACAAGUCUGAGGAACUUUCAAGCAAAACUUUAGGACAAGGACUCAAAUCCUUGUUUCUCAGUGUCUUCAUUUAAAGUACCCUGUUGUCCUCACCACCCUCCCUUCUCCUCCCCAUGUAUACAUGCGUGCAUACUUGUGCAUGUGUGCUGUAUGCAUGGUCAUGCACAUGCAUGCUUAGUUCAGAGGUUGGUGUCUCCCUCAAAUGUUCUGCACUAAGUCAGGCUCACACAGGUUGCCAACUCAGCCCAGCGAGGCAGCUUGCUUUAGGGAUCUCCUGUCUCUACCUCCCAAGAGCUAGGAUUAUAGACCUGGUUUAUAUGUGGGCGCUGAAGAGAUCGAAUUCUUGUCCUCGUGAUGGUGUGCAAGCCCUUGGGUCUGCUGAGCCUCUUCUGUGUCAACUCUCCCAGGACGCGGACAGCGAGUCUCCAUUUGGAAUUGUUAGUCUUGGCUCUGAUGCCUUCUCUCUGUCAAACUUUAUCACCUGGCUUCCCAUUCUGCUUCAUCCUACAUCAAGCCUCCUUGAAUGUGUUGCAUUUUAGGUCAGUUUCCUGAAGUAGAUGCCUGGCCACAGUGACAGGGCUCUUCCCACAUCUUAGUUCCUUCAGAAACAGGCCACUGCCUGCACCUUCCCAGGCGUUCACAUUCAGGACCAACACCACAGCUUGCCACAGGAGCUCUUUCUAGGAUUCCUGUGGCAGACUCUCCCAUGGGAAACUCAGCAACCCACAUCUAUUAACCCUGCAUUCUGUGUCCAGAGCUCUGUCCCUGGACAUGGGUGCUCCCUGCCAGCACACAGCGCUCUCAGCUGCUACUGACAAGUCUGUCUGAUUAGUGGGAUCCAGCUUACUGUGCUCACCAUGGCCGCGCGCCUUCAGAACCAAGUUGAAGACCAUGCAAACGCUUCCCAGCAACAGCUCUUCUCCCCUCCAGGGCAGAUAAUACCUCCUUUUGAUCCGUUAAUAGAGAGAUUUCCUGAAGCAGGGGACUGAAACUGGCCAUCUAAGCAUCUAGCUAUGCAUGGAAGCCCACAUACGCUCAGCACUCAGGAGACUGAGGCAAGCGCACACUGACAUACGUUAAAGGCUAACUUCACGGUGACUCCAGGUCAUUCUGAUUCUCCUAAAGCUUUAAAUACCUCAUACAUACAGGGUCCCUUUCUAGUACAAUAGAUGGACAAUAAAGUGUAAGAGUUUGGCCAAGGCAUCCUCCAGGUAUCGGCACAUACGGACUCCAACAGCCACUGCUUUACUCUUGAGAGCACCACCCACUUCUCUUCAACAGACCCGAAACGAAUGCACAAAAACGAGGAAACCCACACGUGUGCAGGGCAAAGCUUCCAAGAACUGUGGAGGGACACACUGGUGACUGGUUCUGUGUGCUGGCAUUUUGUGGGGAUUUCUUCUUCUUCUUUUUUGAGCUGGGGACCGAACCCAGGGCUUUGCGCUUCCUAGGUAAGCGCUCUACCACUGAGCUAUGGGGAUUUCUUCUUUUUAUUACUGGCUGCUUUUGCACCAAGCCCCUAAGAAGACAUAGGAUGCACACAUGGAAAAGUAGGCGCCAAUAGAGCAGGUUGUUGGGGCAGAGGGCAAAUCUCUAUCAGGCAGCUAAGCUGUGACUGCUAAGUCACUUCGGUUACCAUGGGUCUAUCGGCCUGUCCCUGUUUAGCUCCCAUCUCAGAUUGCCUGCUCUAUCUGUGAAGAAGACUCCGGUGGCGGCCAUGUUUGUCAGUGCUGGCAGAGAACGCUCACACAUCUUUAGCACACCGUGUCACUUCUCUUUGGCUUCUUUUCCAUAUAUUCAGAAAUUGACUCAACUAGUAUGGACUUUACAUAUUUCGGGGGAUGAUUUUAGAUAUUCCCAUGUAAAAUAUGUGGCGCAGAUCGCAUGCGCAGUGACACUGCUUCUCCUACACUACCAUGCCACUUUGCAGGUAAGAAGCCUCCGGUACAGAGAAGGCAAACAUAAUUCAUCCAGGUUCACACACAUAACGGACAAUGAAGCAUGCUGCUGCUCAGUCCCCCUGGAGGCAGCUCUGUGAGCUGCUCCUAAGGCACAAGCAUGUGACACAGUAACUAUCACACACAUACAUGGCUCUAUUCAUACGCUAUAAGGAAAGAAUAACAUUGUUUUAAAUAACAAUUAUGUUGUUGUCUCCUGGUCAACAGAAAAGAUUGUUUCUUCUUUAGCAUUAGGUUCUGUUUGCUCUACCUAUAUUAUAGCACCUUAGAACAAAACACCCAUUUUUAUCUCAGACUUAAAAGCUUAUAAGUCCUGGGGCCUGCAGUCCCCCCUGCCAUGGGUUUUCUCCUGGUCCUGACUCCAUGCCAUAGCCAUGCCAUACUUUCUGCUUUGGUGUAGUCGGGCUGUAGGAAGCCUGGCUUGGGGACGGACACCUGUGACAACUGGAGCUAUCUGCAUGGUGUCAUGCCUCGUGUGUGCCAUCCACAAUCUGGAAAAGCACUUGUGCGACACUGGAAACAGCUACUGUAGCAGGGUAGGCACUCACUGAAGGGUCUGGGAGGUUGCUGGUGAACAGACUCCCAUCUGGAGGGAAGAGCUAGCCGCACCGAGAGGGAUGGAAGUGAGCGCUCCACACCUGCUGGUUCCUCCAGAACCCCUGCCAGUCAGUCACCGAGGCUGUGUUAGUGUUAACCUCAGAGCACAAACAGUCCAUUCACUCCCCAAACUGCCCUCCCUGUUUCCUGCCUAAUCCCGUCAUCUUGGAGAGCUGGUUCUUUCUCACUCACAGUUCUCUCAGGGACAUGAAGGCCAUUUUCCUCUUCUCUCUUUUUUUAUUUUUUCGGAGCUGGGGACUGAACCCAGGACCUUGUGGUUGCUAGGAAAGCACUCUACCACUGAGCUAAAUCCCCAGCCC